rnacentral:lncRNA from 1 species
GACGAUUCACAAAGUAAGGAACUUGUGAACCGGGAGACUGAAAGUUACAAAACAUUCAAUACAAGAUUCUGUGAACUUAGAUGCAGAUGCCCUAGAGGAAGCAGAGAUCAAUUUAAAUUUGGGAAUUACAAAGAGUCUGCUCAGUCUUUUGCCCUAUGUAGAAAUAAAAGUUCUGCUUCAACCUCUUACUCACAGAAGAGAACCUCCACUCAAAAGGCUCAAAAAAAUAAACAGCCACGUGAACUUAUA